GACGAAGGAUGCAAGCGUUAUCCGGAUUCCUUGGGUUUAAAGGGAGCGUAGGUGGCCUUGUAAGUCAGUGGUGAAAUCCUGUCGCUUAACGAUAGAAUUGCCAUUGAUACUGCAGGGCUUGAGUACAGUUGCCGUUGGCGGAAUAUGACAUGUAGUGGUGAAAUACAUAGAUAUGUCAUAGAACACCGAUUGCGAAGGCAGCUGACGAAACUGUAACUGACACUGAGGCUCGAAAGUGUGGGGAUCAAACAGG
rnacentral:rRNA from 1 species